UGGGGAAUAUUGCACAAUGGGCGCAAGCCUGAUGCAGCCAUGCCGCGUGUAUGAAGAAGGCCUUCGGGUUGUAAAGUACUUUCAGCGGGGAGGAAGGGAGUAAAGUUAAUACCUUUGCUCAUUGACGUUACCCGCAGAAGAAGCACCGGCUAACUCCGUGCCAGCAGCCGCGGUAAUACGGAGGGUGCAAGCGGUAAUCGGAAUUACUGGGCGUAAAGCGCACGCAGGCGGUCUGUCAAGUCGGAUGUGAAAUCCCCGGGCUUAACCUGGGAACUGCAUUCGAAACUGGCAAGCUAGAGUCUUGUAGAGGGGGGUAGAAUUCCAGGUGUAGCGGUGAAAUGCGUAGAGAUCUGGAGGAAUACCGGUGGCGAAGGCGGCCCCCUGGACAAAGACUGACGCUCAGGUGCGAAAGCGUGGGGAGCAAACAGG
rnacentral:rRNA from 1 species